CUGGAACUGAGACACGGUCCAGACACCUACGGGUGGCAGCAGUCGAGAAUCAUUCACAAUGGGGGAAACCCUGAUGGUGCGACGCCGCGUGGGGGAUGAAGGUCUUCGGAUUGUAAACCCCUGUCAUUUGUGAACAAACCUUUUGGUUUAAUAGAUCAAAAGCUGAUAGUAGCAAAAGAGGAAGGGACGGCUAACUCCGUGCCAGCAGCCGCGGUAAUACGGAGGUCCCAAGCGUUGUUCGGAUUUACUGGGCGUAAAGGGUGCGUAGGUGGCCAGGAAAGUUUGAUGUGAAAGCUCCGAGCUCAACUCGGAAAAUGCAUUGAAUACUACUUGGCUUGAGGAUCGGAGGGGAGACUGGAAUUCUCGGUGUAGCAGUGAAAUGCGUAGAUAUCGAGAGGAACACCAGUGGCGAAGGCGAGUCUCUGGACGAUUCCUGACACUGAGGCACGAAAGCUAGGGGAGCAAACAGGAUUAGAUACCCUGGUAGUCCUAGCCGUAAACGGUGCACACUUGCUGUAGGAGGAUUCGACCCCUUCUGUGGCGGAGCAAACGCGUUAAGUGUGCCGCCUGGGGAGUACGGUCGCAAGAUUAAAACUCAAAGAAAUUGACGGGGGCCUGCACAAGCGGUGGAGUAUGUGGCUUAAUUCGAUGCAACGCGAAGAACCUUACCUGGCCUUGACAUGCAUCUCUAAGCGUGUGAAAGCACGUGACCCUUCGGGGAAUUUGCACAGGUGCUGCAUGGCUGUCGUCAGCUCGUGUCGUGAGAUGUUGGGUUAAGUCCCGCAACGAGCGCAACCCUUGUGUCCUGUUGCCACUUCCGCUAGCGCGGAAAGCACUCUGGACAGACUGCCUCGUCUCAACGAGGAGGAAGGUGGGGAUGACGUCAAGUCAGUAUGGCCCUUACGGCCAGGGCUGCACACGUACUACAAUGCCUGGUACAAUGGGAAGCAAUACCGUGAGGUGGAGCAAAUCCUCAAAACCAGGCCCAGUUCAGAUUGUAGUCUGCAACUCGACUACAUGAAGUCGGAAUCGCUAGUAAUGGCGCAUCAGCUACGGCGCCGUGAAUACGUUCCCAGGCCUUGUACACACCGCCCGUCACAUCAUGAAAGCCGGUUGUACCCGAAGUCGCUGAGCUAACCCGCAAGGGAGGCAAGUGCCGAAGGUAUGGCUGGUAAUUGGGAUGAAGUCGUAACAAGGUAGCCGUCCCUAUAGUGAG
rnacentral:rRNA from 1 species